rnacentral:rRNA from 1 species
UACGGGGGGAGCAAGCGUUGUUCGGAUUUACUGGGCGUAAAGGGCGCGUAGGCGGCCACCGCAAGUCGACUGUGAAAUCUCCGGGCUUAACCCGGAAAGGUCAGCCGAUACUGCGGGGCUAGAGUGCGGAAGGGGCAACUGGAAUUCUUGGUGUAGCGGUGAAAUGCGUAGAUAUCAAGAGGAACACCUGCGGCGAAGGCGGGUUGCUGGGCCGACACUGACGCUGAAGCGCGAAAGCCAGGGGAGCGAACGGG